rnacentral:rRNA from 1 species
UACGUAGGGGGCUAGCGUUGUCCGGAUUUAUUGGGCGUAAAGAGCGUGUAGGCGGCCAGACAAGUCUGCUGUGAAAACUCGAGGCUCAACCUCGAGCUGUCGGUGGAAACUGUCUGGCUAGAGUCCGGAAGAGGAGAGUGGAAUUCCUGGUGUAGCGGUGAAAUGCGUAGAUAUCGUGAGGAAGACCAGUGGCGAAGGCGGGUCUCUGGACAGUUCCUGACGCUGAGGCGCGAAGGCCAGGGGAGCAAACGGG